GUAUAAGAGGUGAGGGAGGACAGUAGCACACAUCAGUUCUGUCACAAGUGUUCAACAUGAAGCUCGUGAGUCUAGUCUUGGCCCUCCUGCUGGCGCUGUCGGCGGUGCUCACCUCCGUCAACGCUGACCCCGUCGCCGACCCGGAGCCAUUCUUCUUGAAGUUCUUGAAGUUAAAGAAGGGUAAGAAAGGAGGCCACCGAGGACCUCCCGUCCAUGUUGUCUACCGUCCACCUCCUCCCCCCAAGGGCUACGGACAUCAAAGUGGCUACGGACGCUAGAGGAGCCACCAUCGGGCAGCUAGAAGAAGCUUCUUAGUCGUAGAAGAUUGUCGCAAGUUGUGUGAAUAUUCUUCAGCCUCUAGGUCACAACACCUGAGUCAUCUUACUCACCUGUACAGCCUCACCAUCAACACAACAGAUGACUUUACCACAACUAGACUGUCACUGCUCCUUACACUCUACCACAACUAGACUGUCACUCUUCCUUACACUCUACCACAACUAGACUGUCACUGCUCCUUACACUCUACCACAACUAGACUGUCACUGUUCCUUACACUCUACCACAACUAGUGUCACUGUUCCUUACACUGUUUCUUAUUGUACUUACUGUAAAUUCAAUAAUUGUACUUCAGAUUAUUUUAAGAAACAAAAUAAAGGUACAUUAAUUCUCA